GAUGAACGCUGGCGGCGUGCCUAAUACAUGCAAGUCGAGCGAACAGACGAGGAGCUUGCUCCUUUGACGUUAGCGGCGGACGGGUGAGUAACACGUAGGUAACCUACCUAUAAGACUGGGAUAACUUCGGGAAACCGGAGCUAAUACCGGAUAAUAUUUCGAACCGCAUGGUUCGAUAGUGAAAGACGGCUUUGCUAUCACUUAUAGAUGGAUCUGCGCCGUAUUAGCUAGUUGGUAAGGUAACGGCUUACCAAGGCAACGAUACGUAGCCGACCUGAGAGGGUGAUCGGCCACACUGGAACUGAGACACGGUCCAGACUCCUACGGGAGGCAGCAGUAGGGAAUCUUCCGCAAUGGGCGAAAGCCUGACGGAGCAACGCCGCGUGAGUGAUGAAGGUCUUCGGAUCGUAAAACUCUGUUAUUAGGGAAGAACAAACGUGUAAGUAACUGUGCACGUCUUGACGGUACCUAAUCAGAAAGCCACGGCUAACUACGUG
rnacentral:rRNA from 1 species